GAGGUGUGAGUAUCGCCCAUGGGC
rnacentral:siRNA from 1 species